rnacentral:snoRNA from 1 species
UGGACCAAUGAUGAAGAGUGGUGCGUUUGAGUCAUGGGUGAUGAGUACUUCUGGGACUCUGAGGUCCAA